GCCCGGGUGGCGAAAUGGCAGCCGCAGCAGACUCAAAAUCUGCCGCCCUCUAAAGGCAUGAAGGUUCGAGUCCUUUCCCGGGCA
rnacentral:tRNA from 1 species